UUAUAUAUCCAUUAUUUUCUUGCUUUUUCAACAAUUUAAUGGUUAUCACCAAAGUAACAUCAAUAAUAUACAAAUUUAUACUCUUAGGAGCAGAAUGAGAGACUGCACUUAAUUUGCACUUAAGCCUUAAGUAUGGUAACUUUUCUUUUUCUUUUUGUUUUUGUUUUUGUUUUUUUCUGAGACGGAGUCUCUGUCGCCCAGGCUGGAGUGCAGUGACGCAAUCUCAGCUCACUGCAAGCUCCGCCUCCUGGGUUCACGCCAUUCUCCUGCCUCAGCCUCCUGAGUAGCUGGGACUACAGGCACCCACCACCACACCCAGUUAAUUUUUUUGUAUUUUUAGUAGAGACGGGGUUUCACCGUGUUAGCCAGGAUGGUCUGGAGCUCCUGACCUCGUGAUCUGCCCACCUCAGCCUCCCAAAGUGCUAGGAUUACAGGUGUGAGCCACCGCGCCCGGCCUCAUGUUUUUUCUAUGAAUUAUUUUUGGGUCCUUUGUCCACAUUUUUGUUGAGUUCAGCUUUUUCUUUUGUUAAAGCUUAUAUAUUAGGGAAAUCAGAGCUUUUUAAGGAAAAUUAUUAUAUGAAAGUGUUAGGAAUAUUUUCCCCAGGAUCAUCUUUGACUGUGUUUUAUAGUUUCAUUUUUUGUAGUUAAGUGUGCCUCUUUUCCAUGUAGCUUUUGGAUGCUGUAAGAAGCCUUAGGGAGGCUUAUUCCACUUCUUAUUCCUAAUAUUCAAAUUUUACUCUGAAAAUUGUUUAUUGACAAUUAGAAUUUUUUUUUCAAUUUUUGAGACAGAGCUUUGCGCUGUCGCCCAGGCUGGAGUAUAGUAGUGCGAUUAUAGUUCACUGCAGCCUGGAACUCCUGAGCUCAAGCGAUUCUUCCACCUCAGCCUCCUGAGUAACUGGGACCACAGGUGUACACCAUCAUACCUGACUAAUUUUUAAAAUUUUUUUGUAGAAAUGGCGUCUCACUGUGUUGCGUAGGCUGAUCUGAAACUCCUGGCCUCGAGUGGUCCUUCCACCUCGGCCUCCCAAAGUGUUGGGAUUACAGGCAUGAGCCACCAUGCCUGGCCUGUUUGUUGAUAUUUAAAUAUUUGACCUGCCUGGAAUUUAUUUGGGUGCACAGACUGAGAGAAGGAACCAGACAUUGCUUUCCUAAUGGCUAGCCAGUCAUCUGAGUAGCUCACUUUUUCCCUGCUGAUUUGGAAAAUUCCUUAAUCAUGUAUCAGAAUCCCACCUGCAUGUGAUGUGGUCCUGAUGCUUGUAAGGGGGCCCCAUGGCAUGGUUGCUGUGAUAGGUGGUGAGCAGGUUUCCCUUCUUUGCUCUUAUUAGCAUAUGGUAUUUUUCUGGCUCUUCACAUGUUCUGGAUGAGUUUGGAAUCUUGUUUCUCCCCCUCUGCCCAGAUUUGCUUUGGAUGGCACUGAGUUUAUGCAUUUCAUUUAGAAUAAUUGAUAUUUGGGUCAUAUGGAGUCUUUUCCAUAUGUCUGUCCAUUUAUUUAAGCCUUCCUUUGUAUUCUUUUUAUAGUUCAAUAGUUUUCUUCUUUUAGGUCCUGUAAAUUUCUUACUAAAUUUAUUUUCAGGAGUUUUUAUGUGUUCUAUUAACAUCAUUUUCCAUCGUAUUUUCAAAUUAAUCUUUUUCUUCCUGUAUGGGAAAGCUUUCAAUUUUUUUUUUUUUUUUUUGAGACGGAGUCUCGCUCUGUCACCCAGGCUGGAGUGCAGUGGCAUGAUCUUGGCUCACUGCAAGCUCCAUCUUCUGGGUUCACACCAUUCUCCUGCCUCAGCCUCCAGAGUAGCUGGGACUACAGGCGCCUGCCACCACGCCCAGCUAAUUUUUUGUAUUUUUAGUAGAGAUGGGGUUUCACUGUGUUAGCCAGGAUGGUCUCGAUCUCCUGACCUCGUGAUCCGCCACCUCGGCCUCCCAAAGUGCCGGGAUUACAGGCAUGAGCCACCAUGCCCAGCGAUUUUUAAAUGUAAUUUGGAAUCUGGCAAACGUAUUGAGCUAUUAACUACUUUUUAAAAAUACUUGAGAUGUACUUUAUUAUACUAUUAUAGUUAGUACCAUCUAAUGCUUAGUAUCAUCUUUCUCAAAUUAAAAAAAAAGCAUACCCAAUAAAAUAAUUCAAAGUCUAGAAUUCCAUCAUUCAAUAUGGUAGCCACCACUCAUGUGCAGCAGUUUCGAUUUAUUAAAACUAAAUGCAACUUACAGCCAGGCGCGGUGGCAUAAACCUGGAGUCCCAGCACUCGGGAGGCUGAGGCGGGAGUUCGAGACCAGCCUGGGCACAUAGAGACCCUGUCUCUUAAAAAUAAAUAAAUAAAAGUGUUUCCUCAGUUUCCCUGGCCACAUUUCAAGUGCUAACUGAAGCCUAGUGACUACCAAAUUGGGCAGCACACAUAGAGAACAUUUCUGUCAGCUCUGGCUUAGAGACUGUGAAUGCAAAGUAGAAGAGCCUCCCUCCACGUUCCCCACCUGCACUUUCAUGCUGCAGACCUGAUGCUCUUCUGGGUUUCUGUUUCUACCUUAUCUGGUAGAUAGUUGAGUCACUUAAACAAUAUGCUUGUAUCUUUUAUUAAUUCACCAAUGUUAGUAUUUAUGGACUUCCAUCAUCAGAGAUGUACAACUGGCUCAUUCACACUACCCUCUUUUCCUCUCCCAAUUAUUUAAUUAUAUUUUUUCCUCCAAAGAUUUCCUUUUGAACUUGAAAUUAUACGAUAGUCCUCAUGUUUUUGUGUGUAUUUAAAGGAGUACUCUGGGUUCAGAAUCUUUGAAAGAGGAUCUGGAACCCAGAACCUGUAGAGAUGAUGUUUACCUCAUUCUCUGAGCUGUGGUCGUGUACUCACACGCGGCCUUCCAAAGCAGGUUCUCAUACCAAAUUCCCGUUGAUUUUAAGAUACACCAUUAAUUUGAUAAUGAAAAUUUAAAAUGGAAACGUAGGUUGUGAGACUCAUUCUGAUCUCAGAAAUGUGACAAUGUGGAAAAACUGGCCCCUGGGUGUCCAGCAAAUCCCAGCCCUCUUGGUGGUCAGCUGCCCUUCACUUGUUCCAUCUUGUAAGGAAUGCAGGACCUUUUUUGUUAUGGUGAAGAGGGUUCAUCUCUACUCACAAUCUUGCUUUUAUAAAUUAGUAAUGGAUUUUUCAAGUACUUUUCAGUAUCUUCCAAAUGAUCCCAUAGUUUCUGUCCCUUUGCUAUUAAUAUGGUGGAAAAUACAGUUUCUGUGUUGUGAGCCGUUCUCACUUGAUGGGAAUGAUCCCCAUUUGGUAUAAACCUGAAUGUACUUCUGGAUUUAUUUUUUAUUUAGAUAUUUUUCUUGUGGUAAAAUAUGCGUAAUAUACCAUUUUAACCAUAUUGAAAUGUACGGUUCAGUGGCAUUAAGCACGUUCACAUUGUUGCGCAGCCAUCACCACAAUCUGUCUUCAGCACUUUUUCAGCAUCCCAGUAGACACUCUGUACCCAUUAAACAGUUAUUCAGUGUUCUACUUUAUGUCUCUAUGAAUUUGCCCAUUCUAAAUACCUCAUAUAAGCGGAAUCAUGUGUCUGGCUAUUUGACUUCUGUUUUCAAGAUUUGCCCAUGUAGCAUGUAUCAAAAGUUAAUUCCUUUUUUAUGGCUGAAUAUUCCAUUGUGUGAAUAAAUCACAUUUUGUUUCUCCAUUCAUCUGUUGAUGGACACUUGGGUUGUUUCUACUUUUUGGUUGUUGUGAAUUG
ensembl:lncRNA novel transcript, sense intronic to MOV10L1